UGCAGAUAUAAAGACUCAUUGCUUAAUUUCGUUCCAAAUGGUUCACCUGUAAAAUACGAUUAAAACGCAAAAGAUGAUGAAGUUUCUGCUUACGGCAUGGAUCAUGUCAAUUACAUUUGGUCCAUACAUAUUAUGUUCUUUACAAGACAUGGAUCCAAAAUGUAGAUACACUGUCCAUCUACCAGAAGCGUCAUGGCACACGGCAUAUAAUGUUUGUGCUUCAAGAAACAGGACACUAGCACAAAUUACAUCACUGAGUAAGAUGUACUUUUUAGA